CCGGCGCACGGGUGAGUAACACGUAUCCAACCUGCCGUCUACUCUUGGACAGCCUUCUGAAAGGAAGAUUAAUACAAGAUGGCAUCAUGAGUCCGCAUGUUCACAUGAUUAAAGGUAUUCCGGUAGACGAUGGGGAUGCGUUCCAUUAGAUAGUAGGCGGGGUAACGGCCCACCUAGUCUUCGAUGGAUAGGGGGUUCUGAGAGGAAGGUCCCCCACAUUGGAACUGAGACACGGUCCAAACUCCUACGGGAGGCAGCAUG
rnacentral:rRNA from 1 species